UUUUUGGUAAGCAGAACUGGCGAUGCGGGAUGAACCGAACGCGCGGUUAAGGUGCCAAAGUCGACGCUCAUCAGACNCCACAAAAGGUGUUGGUUGCUCUAGACAGCAGGACGGUGGCCAUGGAAGUUGGAAUCCGCUAAGGAGUGUGUAACAACUCACCUGCCGAAGCAACUAGCCCUGAAAAUGGAUGGCGCUCAAGCGUCGCACCUAUACCGUGCCGUCGGAGCAGAUGCGAAGCUCCGACGAGUAGGAGGGCGUGGGGGUCGUGACGCAGCCUCUGGCGCGAGCCUGGGUGAAACGGCCUCCAGUGCAGAUCUUGGUGGUAGUAGCACAUG
rnacentral:ncRNA from 1 species